CAGCACCUCAAGUGGUCAGGAUGAUUAUUGGGCCUAAAGCAUCCGUAGCCGGCUCUGUAAGUUUUCGGUUAAAUCUAUGCGCUCAACGUAUGGGCUGCCGAAAAUACUGCAGAGAUAGGGAGUGGGAGAGGUAGACGGUACUCGGUAGGAAGGGGUAAAAUCGUUUGAUCUAUCGAUGACCACCUGUGGCGAAGGCGGUCUACCAGAACACGUUCGACGGUGAGGGAUGAAAGCUGGGGGAGCAAACCGGAUUAGAUACCCGGGUAGUCCCAGCCGUAAACGAUGCAGACUCGAUGAUGCAUUGGCAUAUAGCCAGUGCAGUGUCGCAGGGAAGCCGUUAAGUCUGCCGCCUGGGAAGUACGUACGCAAGUAUGAAACUUAAAGGAAUUGGCGGGGGAGCACCACAAGGGGUGAAGCCUGCGGUUCAAUUGGAGUCAACGCCAGAAAUCUUACCCGGAGAGACAGCAGAAUGAAGGUCAAGCUGAAGACUUUACCAGACAAGCUGAGAGGUGGUGCAUGGCCGUCGCCAGCUCGUGCCGUGAGAUGUCCUGUUAAGUCAGGUAACGAGCGAGAUCCCUGCCACUAGUUGCUAUCAUUAUUCUCAGGAAUAGUGGGGCGAAUUAGUGGGACUGCCGUUGUUAAAACGGAGGAAGGAAGGGGCUACGGCAGGUCAGUAUGCCCCGAAACUCUGGGGCCACACGCGGGCUGCAAUGGUAGCGACAAUGAGUUCCAAACUCGAAAGAGAGUGGCAAUCCCUAAACGCUACCACAGUUAUGACUGAGGGCUGCAACUCGCCCUCACGAAUAUGGAAUCCCUAGUAACCGCGUGUCAUUACCGCGCGGUGAAUACGUCCCUGCUCCUU
rnacentral:rRNA from 1 species